GGACUACUGGGGUAUCUAAUCCUGUUUGCUCCCCACGCUGUCGCGCAUCAGUGUCAGCAGUAGCCCAGCAGGCCGCCUUCGCCACCGGUGUUCUUCCGGAUCUCUACGCAUUCCACCGCUACACCCGGAAUUCCACCUGCCUCUACUACGCUCAAGCAAGACAGUUCGCAUGGCAGACUCGGAGUUGAGCCCCGAGCUUUCACCACACGCUUAUCCCGCCACCUACGCGCCCUUUACGCCCAGUGAUUCCGGACAACGCUCGCACCCUCUGUAUUACCGCGGCGGCUGGCAC
rnacentral:rRNA from 1 species